rnacentral:rRNA from 1 species
GACAGAGGAUGCAAGCGUUAUCCGGAAUUAUUGGGCGUAAAGAGCUCGUAGGCGGUUUGUCGCGUCUGCCGUGAAAGUCCGGGGCUCAACUCCGGAUCUGCGGUGGGUACGGGCAGACUAGAGUGAUGUAGGGGAGACUGGAAUUCCUGGUGUAGCGGUGAAAUGCGCAGAUAUCAGGAGGAACGACCGAUGGCGAAGGCAGGUCUCUGGGCAUUAACUGACGCUGAGGAGCGAAAGCAUGGGGAGCGAACAGG